UUGGACUAAACAUUCUUGAUAAGGAAUGCUGUUUUUUUAAGGGAUUUAAAAUGCUUAGUGGCUGUAGUAGUACAACUUGUUCCAACAACUUGAAGAGAGAUAAAGAAAAGUUGUAUAUUUUUUCUACAAUGAUAGAAACUACUAAUGUGUUGAAACGUUAAACAAGUUUUUACGCGUGACAUCUUUUAUUCAUUUUUUAAGGUUUCAUGCCUUCUAAAUUAAAUUAUCAUACCCUUUAUUAAUCUUAAUAUGUCGCCAAUCCACAACCUGAUCUCAUCACUUCGCUCUCCACCUGUUUGUCCCUACAAUUUUUAUAUCCAAAUUGCAUGAGUCAUUAGGAACCACUGGUAUUCAUUUAGUUAUUACACUGCGGUGGGAGCGGCACGGGCUGCAAUUGCUGAGAAGCCAUUGCAGUCACACAUUGUUUAGUAGAAGCAGCAAGAGGUGGACUUAUGUGAAUAUUUAAUAUUUUUCAGAGGUUAUUAGAUUCAAUGUCUGGUUGGAGUCUUCUUAGAGAAUUUCGAAUCCAGAAGAUUCACAUGGCUAUCGUUCUUAAUGAGUAUGGUUCAACUGUUGGAGUAUGUGCUUGCCAUAUCUGAAUACAACCAACUCAGAUCAGUUUGUUUGACAUAAAUAUGAAUAUAUGAAUCUUUCAAUUUGUGAUUCGCUUAAAAUGUAUAAACUGUGCUAAGUAUAAUAUAACCAUAGAAACAAAAGAAUCGUAUUAAAGAUAUCAAUUAGAAGUUAGAACAUGUUAGCACUAUGGUUUUGGUUACAAUAAAUUGUGAAUGAGUAAUGAUAAUUUUCCUCCCAUCUUUUGAAUUCAUUUUGCCAAUC